rnacentral:rRNA from 1 species
UACAUGGGGUGCAAACGUUGCUCGGAAUCAUUGGGCGUAAAGCGCGCGUAGGCGGUUACUUAAGUUGGAUGUGAAAGCCCUCGGCUUAACUGAGGAAGUGCAUCCAAAACUGAGUAGCUAGAGUACGAAAGAGGGUCGCGGAAUUCCCGGUGUAGCGGUGAAAUGCGCAGAUAUCGGGAGGAACACCAAUGGCGAAGGCAGCUCGCUGGGACGUUACUGACGCUGAGGUGCGAAAGCGUGGGGAGCAAACAGG